AAUCACACAGGUCCUAACUAAGGUCCGUAUUUUCCACAGAUGCACUGUCAUAGAGCUGAGGCCUGAGACAACCCCAUCCAAGGGAGACUGAUGGAGCGUUCUUGGUUUAAUGUGUCUGUGUCAGAAUUUGUGUCUUCCCAUAAAGGACAGUCAUAUGCUGCACUGUGCUCAGCUUCCCACUUGUAUCGCUUUAGCCCACAGCUACAGUGGCUAUAGGGCCUACUAGAUGUCACUAAAGAAUUAGCCACUAUUCCUGCUACUAGCAGCAGCAGCAAAUGGCUUCCUCCUCUCCGAUAACUCCAGCUUGUGUAAUGCUGACAUGAAACUAACCCAGCACACUGCCUCAACACAGUCUGGAAAUCAGUGGAGCCCAGGAUUGUGGCCUGACAUCUCUGAAACUUAGUUGAACAAUCAAACAAACAAAAAUAACAACAACAACAACAACAAAACCAAAACAAACAAACAAAAAAAACCAAACCAAACCAAACAAAAAACCUUGGAGAAAUCUCAGAUCAACUAAACAUCCUUCAGGACCAACUGGAUUCUUUGGCUGUUUGCAGUACUCCAUGACAUGAAGUGACUUCUGCUGAGGAUGGGCUCUGUGCCCUCCUCCAAGAAUGAUGGUGUUUCUGUACCAAUAAAUAAGUCCUAACUGGCUUGACAUGGGGGGAGGGUCUUUGGUAGUUUGAAUGCAAUUGGCUCCCAUAAGCUCAUAGGGGGUGGCUCUAUUUGGAGGUGUGGCUUUGUUGAAGGAAGUGUGUCCAUGUGGGGAUGGGCUUUGAGGUCUCAUAUAUGCUCAAGCCAUACCCAGUCUCAGUUUACUUCCUGUUGCCUGUAAAUCAAGAUGUAGAAUUCUCAACUCCUUUUCUAGCACCAUGUCUGCCUACAGGCUGCCAUGUCCCACAAUGAUGGUAAUAGACUAAACCUCUGAAAUUGUAAGCCACAACAAUUAAAUGUUUUCCUCUAUAA